UACGUAGGGUGCGAGCGUUGUCCGGAAUUAUUGGGCGUAAAGGGCUCGUAGGCGGCUUGUCACGUCGGGUGUGAAAGACCGGGGCUUAACCCCGGUUCUGCAUUCGAUACGGGCAGGCUCGAGUUCGGUAGGGGAGACUGGAAUUCCUGGUGUAGCGGUGAAAUGCGCAGAUAUCAGGAGGAACACCGAUGGCGAAGGCAGGUCUCUGGGCCGAUACUGACGCUGAGGAGCGAAAGCGUGGGGAGCGAACAGG
rnacentral:rRNA from 1 species